GUGGGGAAUCUUGCGCAAUGGGCGAAAGCCUGACGCAGCCAUGCCGCGUGUAUGAUGAAGGUCUUAGGAUUGUAAAAUACUUUCACCGGGGAAGAUAAUGACGGUACCCGGAGAAGAAGCCCCGGCUAACUUCGUGCCAGCAGCCGCGGUAAUACGAAGGGGGCUAGCGUUGCUCGGAAUUACUGGGCGUAAAGGGCGCGUAGGCGGAUACUUAAGUUGGGGGUGAAAGCCCGGGGCUCAACCUCGGAAUUGCCUUCAAUACUGGGUAUCUUGAGUUCGGGAGAGGUGAGUGGAAUGCCGAGUGUAGAGGUGAAAUUCGUAGAUAUUCGGCGGAACACCAGUGGCGAAGGCGACUCACUGGCCCGAUACUGACGCUGAGGCGCGAAAGCGUGGGGAGCAA
rnacentral:rRNA from 1 species